GAUGAAGAACGCAGCGAAAUGCGAUACGUAAUGUGAAUUGCAGAAUUCAGUGAAUCAUCGAAUCUUUGAACGCAUAUUGCGCUCUCUGGUAUUCCGGAGAGCAUGCUUGUUUGAGUAUCAGUAAACACCUCAACUCCCUUUUCUUUUUUGAAAUGGGAGCUGGACUUGAGUGAUCCCAACACUUUUCUCACUGGAAAGUGGCGGGUCACUUGAAAUGCAGGUGCAGCUGGACUUUUCUCUUGGCUAUAAGCAUAUCUAUUUAGUCUGCCUAAAAAACAGAUUAUUACCUUUGCUGCAGCUAACAUAAAGGAGAUGAGUUCUUGUGCUGACUGAUGCAGGAUUCACAGAGACAGCUUUGCGGCUGACUUUGUAAACUCGAUCUCAAAUCAAGUAAGACUACCCGCUGAACUUAAGCAUAUCAAUAAGCGGAGGA
rnacentral:misc_RNA from 1 species